CGAAGGGUUUACGAUACACGAACCAUGUUCGUCUUCAUCAUACCGUUUCUUGUAGGCCCCGCUGCCGGCGGCAUUCCCAGUGGUCCUACGAUUCUUGUGGCAAAUUAUCAGACUAAUUGGACCGGUUUAUUAACGGCAUUGAGAAACUGUUCAGUUUUAUGACAGUGAUGUACGACGCCUCUACUUUUUCCGAGUACUGACCUGCAAAACAACCAAAUGUUUCUGAACACGGAAAUGGUAAUUUGGCUGAAGUACAGCAAUCAAUCUCUCGGUGAAAGGGUUCAAUGUGUUCGAUGGAAGAAAAUGAGACUCACGGGAACUGAUUACAUUUUUACCAGAUACCAGCGUCUAGGAACUCAAACGCAAUCAAUUAAUAAACAUGCAGUCCUGCUCAACGUAACUGCACAAGCAUACGGUUUUCCAAGUGCAAAACCUGCGUUGAAAAUCCUGGACAAUUCAAACAACCGAGGUGGUGCAGGUCAAUUAUAUAUAAUGGAAUAUUGGGACUGGACGGAAAAGUGCGCCUUGUUUUUCGGUCCAGGGGGGCUAUGUCAACAGUAUGUGUGGUAUGAACGCGUUCAAAGUACGCCUGUAUGUGACGCUGCUUACCGCGAAACUUGUCGUGGUACGCGCUACGAGAUUUACAAAAGAAGCUGCAAUACAUAAGCAGAUAUUUGCGUCGGUCUGCGCAAGUGGUAAUUUCGAGGUAUACAUUACAAUAAACUAUAUUCGACAUAUAACAGUUUCGAAUGUACAGAAAAGAUUGUGUAGUUAACUGUCAAUAAAGUGUUCUUCAAUACAGA